AAGGGAGCGUAGGCGGCUGAUUAAGUCAGCGGUGAAAGGUAGCAGCUUAACUGUUUUACAUGCCGUUGAUACUGGUUAGCUUGAGUUGACAGAAGGCAGAUAGAAUUCCUGAUGUAGCGGUGAAAUGCUUAGAUAUCAGGAGGAAUACCGAUUGCGAAGGCAGUCUGCUGCAGUCACACUGACGCUGAGGCUCGAAGGUGCGGGGAUCAAACAGGAUUAGAUACCCUGGU
rnacentral:rRNA from 1 species